rnacentral:rRNA from 1 species
UGGGGAAUAUUGGACAAUGGGCGAAAGCCUGAUCCAGCCAUGCCGCAUGUGUGAAGAAGGUCUUCGGAUUGUAAAGCACUUUAAGUUGGGAGGAAGGGCAUUAACCUAAUACGUUAGUGUUUUGACGUUACCGACAGAAUAAGCACCGGCUAACUCUGUGCCAGCAGCCGCGGUAAUACAGAGGGGGCAAGCGUUAAUCGGAAUUACUGGGCGUAAAGCGCGCGUAGGUGGUUUGUUAAGUUGGAUGUGAAAUCCCCGGGCUCAACCUGGGAACUGCAUUCAAAACUGACUGACUAGAGUAUGGUAGAGGGUGGUGGAAUUUCCUGUGUAGCGGUGAAAUGCGUAGAUAUAGGAAGGAACACCAGUGGCGAAGGCGACCACCUGGACUAAUACUGACACUGAGGUGCGAAAGCGUGGGGAGCAAACA